rnacentral:lncRNA from 1 species
CCCAUGUACAUAGCAUUUCACCGCGCUGCCUAAAUUGCAGAAAGCGGGUGCGAGACCCUCAGCCGGCAGCCCCAGAGGGUCGGGAGCCGGAGGAGGGAAGCGCGUCAUCAGCGGAGGCUUUCGGAGGCGCCAUCAUAUCCUUUGGAAAUCCGGACUUCUUGUGAAGUGGCAAUCAUGCGACAAACGCACACCACCUGACUUCUCAGACUGGUCCCCAUCUAGGCAGCAGCCUCCUGGCCUUUAUUUCUUUUCAACAAACAAAGUGGUCACGAAGGGAGUGGAUUAUGACGCCAUCCUAGCCUGCAGGGGUGAAGAGGAACAGUACAAGGCCCAAUUACAGCCAUCAGUGACUGAGCAGGACCCUGGACAAUCAGAGAAUUGGAUGAAGCAGGUCCAGCUGUAGCACCCAGGUGUGAUUCUGAUGCGCACUCGUUCGCCAGGUGAACGGGGGAAAAAUUGGUCCAGGCAGGAGGAACAGCACCGACAAUGGCUUGGGAGUCCUCCGUAGCCUUCAAGCACUGGGGUUGCAGUUCAGAAACUGUUGGCUCUGGGAGGAGAGGGCUCCUGUCCAUACAGUUUAUCACCCGGAGCCUGGAACACAGCAGGGCCUCAUAAAUACUUGUUAAUACGCUGGCUCCCCAAAUAGAAGUGAGUAGAAAGUCAAAGGGAAAAACGAAAGAUUCAGAGGAGGAAAAAAAAAAGGUGUUUCUAAGGGGAUGAAAACUUUCCAAAAAGUUGUUCUGGAAUAGGCAGCUCUGCCCAAUAGAGGAAUUGGGGAGGUGGCCGCUCCGGGAAAGGGCGAUGAGUCCCGGGAGAGGGCACGAGGCGCCUUCCCGCCUCCCAGGCCGGCCGAAGGCAUGAGGUCACCAGGCGCUCAGCCAGCGACAGCUGCGAGGACGCGCCCGCGCGGCGGCGGGAGGCGGUGUCAGGCUCUGGCCCCCGGGGAAUUUCCCUCCCGCCCCCUCGGGAGGCGUGGCCCGGAGCCCCGCCCACCGCCCGCCGGAGCCCGAGCCUCCUGCCGCCCCGUGAAGGCCACGCCCCAGGCACGGGCACGCCCCCUGGGCCGCCCGAGCGGGCCUUCCUCCGCCCCCGCCCGAGGCCACGCCCCCUGGGCUCCGG